AUUGAACGCUGGCGGCAUGCUUUACACAUGCAAGUCGAACGGUAACAGGCCGCAAGGUGCUGACGAGUGGCGAACGGGUGAGUAAUGCAUCGGAACGUGCCCAGUCGUGGGGGAUAACUACUCGAAAGAGUAGCUAAUACCGCAUACGAUCUAUGGAUGAAAGCGGGGGACCGUAAGGCCUCGCGCGAUUGGAGCGGCCGAUGUCAGAUUAGGUAGUUGGUGGGGUAAAGGCCCACCAAGCCAACGAUCUGUAGCUGGUCUGAGAGGACGACCAGCCACACUGGGACUGAGACACGGCCCAGACUCCUACGGGAGGCAGCAGUGGGGAAUUUUGGACAAUGGGCGCAAGCCUGAUCCAGCAAUGCCGCGUGCAGGAAGAAGGCCUUCGGGUUGUAAACUGCUUUUGUACGGAACGAAACGGCUCUGGUUAAUACCCGGGGCUAAUGACGGUACCGUAAGAAUAAGCACCGGCUAACUACGUG
rnacentral:rRNA from 1 species